UCAGGACGAACGCUGGCGGCGUGCUUAACACAUGCAAGUCGAACGAUGAAGCCCAGCUUGCUGGGUGGAUUAGUGGCGAACGGGUGAGUAACACGUGAGUAACCUGCCCUGGACUCUGGGAUAAGCGUUGGAAACGACGUCUAAUACCGGAUAGGACCUCUGACCGCAUGGUUGGGGGUGGAAAGUUUUUUCGGUCUGGGAUGGACUCGCGGCCUAUCAGCUUGUUGGUGAGGUAAUGGCUCACCAAGGCGUCGACGGGUAGCCGGCCUGAGAGGGUGACCGGCCACACUGGGACUGAGACACGGCCCAGACUCCUACGGGAGGCAGCAGUGGGGAAUAUUGCACAAUGGGCGAAAGCCUGAUGCAGCAACGCCGCGUGCGGGAUGACGGCCUUCGGGUUGUAAACCGCUUUUAGUAGGGAAGAAGGGCUUCGGCUUGACGGUACCUGCAGAAAAAGGACCGGCUAACUACGUGCCAGCAGCCGCGGUAAUACGUAGGGUCCGAGCGUUGUCCGGAAUUAUUGGGCGUAAAGAGCUCGUAGGCGGUUUGUCGCGUCUGCUGUGAAAUCUGGAGGCUCAACCUCCAGCCUGCAGUGGGUACGGGCAGACUAGAGUGCGGUAGGGGAGAAUGGAAUUCCUGGUGUAGCGGUGGAAUGCGCAGAUAUCAGGAGGAACACCGAUGGCGAAGGCAGUUCUCUGGGCCGUAACUGACGCUGAGGAGCGAAAGCGUGGGGAGCGAACAGGAUUAGAUACCCUGGUAGUCCACGCCGUAAACGUUGGGCGCUAGAUGUGGGGACCUUUCCACGGUUUCCGUGUCGUAGCUAACGCAUUAAGCGCC
rnacentral:rRNA from 1 species